UAUCACAUGCCAAGUUUGGCCUCA
rnacentral:siRNA from 1 species